rnacentral:rRNA from 1 species
GAAAUAAGAUUUUAAAUGAGUGCUAAGAGAAUGAUUAAACAAUUAAAAGCUUUCUUUAAUUAAAAAGUUAAAUUUAAUUUUUUAGUGCAAAAGCAAAAAUAAAAUUUAGGGACAAGAAGACCCUAUGAAUUUUUAUUGUUAAUAAUUAAAAUUUAAGUUAUUAAUAAUUUAAUUGGGGCGAUAAAAAAAGAAUAAGUAUCUUUUUAGUUAUAAAAUAAGUUCCGUUUUUAGCGAUUAAAUGAAAUAAAUACUCUAGGGAUAACAGCGUAAUAAUUUUGGAUAGUUCAUAUAGAUAAAAUAGUUUGCGACCUCGAUGUUGGAUUAGGAUUCUU